rnacentral:rRNA from 1 species
AUUGAACGCUGGCGGCAGGCUUAACACAUGCAAGUCGAGCGGGGUGAUGGUGCUUGCACUAUCACUUAGCGGCGGACGGGUGAGUAAUGCUUAGGAAUCUGCCUAUUAGUGGGGGACAACAUCUCGAAAGGGAUGCUAAUACCGCAUACGUCCUACGGGAGAAAGCAGGAGAUCACUUGUGACCUUGUGCUAAUAGAUGAGCCUAAGUCGGAUUAGCUAGUUGGUGGGGUAAAGGCCUACCAAGGCGACGAUCCGUAGCGGGUCUGAGAGGAUGAUCCGCCACACUGGGACUGAGACACGGCCCAGACUCCUACGGGAGGCAGCAGUGGGGAAUAUUGGACAAUGGGGGGAACCCUGAUCCAGCCAUGCCGCGUGUGUGAAGAAGGCCUUAUGGUUGUAAAGCACUUUAAGCGAGGAGGAGGCUUACCUAGUUAAUACCUGGGAUAAGUGGACGUUACUCGCAGAAUAAGCACCGGCUAACUCUGUGCCAGCCGCCGCCGUAAAAC